ACGGGGGGGGCUAGCGUUGUUCGGAAUUACUGGGCGUAAAGGGCGCGUAGGCGGUCUGCUAAGUUGGAUGUGAAAACUCUGGGCUUAACCCAGAGCCUGCAUUCAAUACUGACAGGCUAGAGUUCUGGAGGGGAUAGCGGAAUUCCUGGUGUAGCGGUGAAAUGCGCAGAUAUCAGGAGGAACACCAAUGGCGAAGGCAGCUCGCUGGGACGGUACUGACGCUGAGGCGCGAAAGCGUGGGGAGCAAACAGGA
rnacentral:rRNA from 1 species